UUAAGCGACUAAGCGUACACGGUGGAUGCCCUGGCAGUCAGAGGCGAUGAAGGACGUGCUAAUCUGCGAAAAGCGCCGGCGAGGUGAUAUGAACCUUUGACCCGGCGAUGUCCGAAUGGGGAAACCCAGUGCAAUUCGUUGCACUAUCGUUAACUGAAUACAUAGGUUAACGAGGCGAACCGGGGGAACUGAAACAUCUAAGUACCCCGAGGAAAAGAAAUCAACCGAGAUUCCCCCAGUAGCGGCGAGCGAACGGGGAGCAGCCCAGAGUCUGAAUCAGCUUGUGUGUUAGUGGAAGCGUCUGGAAAGUCGCACGGUACAGGGUGACAGUCCCGUACACGAAAACACACAGGUUGUGAACUCGAAGAGUAGGGCGGGACACGUGGUAUCCUGUCUGAAUAUGGGGGGACCAUCCUCCAAGGCUAAAUACUCCUGACUGACCGAUAGUGAACCAGUACCGUGAGGGAAAGGCGAAAAGAACCCCGGCGAGGGGAGUGAAAAAGAACCUGAAACCGUGUACGUACAAGCAGUGGGAGCACCUUCGUGGUGUGACUGCGUACCUUUUGUAUAAUGGGUCAGCGACUUAUAUUCUGUAGCAAGGUUAACCGUAUAGGGGAGCCGAAGGGAAACCGAGUCUUAACUGGGCGUUAAGUUGCAGGGUAUAGACCCGAAACCCGGUGAUCUAGCCAUGGGCAGGUUGAAGGUUGGGUAACACUAACUGGAGGACCGAACCGACUAAUGUUGAAAAAUUAGCGGAUGACUUGUGGCUGGGGGUGAAAGGCCAAUCAAACCGGGAGAUAGCUGGUUCUCCCCGAAAGCUAUUUAGGUAGCGCCUCGUGAACUCAUCUUCGGGGGUAGAGCACUGUUUCGGCUAGGGGGCCAUCCCGGCUUACCAACCCGAUGCAAACUACGAAUACCGAAGAAUGUUAUCACGGGAGACACACGGCGGGUGCUAACGUCCGUCGUGAAGAGGGAAACAACCCAGACCGCCAGCUAAGGUCCCAAAGUCAUGGUUAAGUGGGAAACGAUGUGGGAAGGCACAGACAGCCAGGAUGUUGGCUUAGAAGCAGCCAUCAUUUAAAGAAAGCGUAAUAGCUCACUGGUCGAGUCGGCCUGCGCGGAAGAUGUAACGGGGCUAAACCAUGCACCGAAGCUGCGGCAGCGACACUAUGUGUUGUUGGGUAGGGGAGCGUUCUGUAAGCCGUUGAAGGUGUGCUGUGAGGCAUGCUGGAGGUAUCAGAAGUGCGAAUGCUGACAUAAGUAACGAUAAAGCGGGUGAAAAGCCCGCUCGCCGGAAGACCAAGGGUUCCUGUCCAACGUUAAUCGGGGCAGGGUGAGUCGACCCCUAAGGCGAGGCCGAAAGGCGUAGUCGAUGGGAAACAGGUUAAUAUUCCUGUACUUGGUGUUACUGCGAAGGGGGGACGGAGAAGGCUAUGUUAGCCGGGCGACGGUUGUCCCGGUUUAAGCAUGUAGGCGGAGGUUCCAGGUAAAUCCGGUACCUUUUAACGCUGAGGUGUGAUGACGAGGCACUACGGUGCUGAAGUAACAAAUGCCCUGCUUCCAGGAAAAGCCUCUAAGCAUCAGGUAACAUCAAAUCGUACCCCAAACCGACACAGGUGGUCAGGUAGAGAAUACCAAGGCGCUUGAGAGAACUCGGGUGAAGGAACUAGGCAAAAUGGUGCCGUAACUUCGGGAGAAGGCACGCUGAUAUGUAGGUGAAGCCCCUGCGGGUGGAGCUGAAAUCAGUCGAAGAUACCAGCUGGCUGCAACUGUUUAUUAAAAACACAGCACUGUGCAAACACGAAAGUGGACGUAUACGGUGUGACGCCUGCCCGGUGCCGGAAGGUUAAUUGAUGGGGUUAGCGGUAACGCGAAGCUCUUGAUCGAAGCCCCGGUAAACGGCGGCCGUAACUAUAACGGUCCUAAGGUAGCGAAAUUCCUUGUCGGGUAAGUUCCGACCUGCACGAAUGGCGUAAUGAUGGCCAGGCUGUCUCCACCCGAGACUCAGUGAAAUUGAACUCGCUGUGAAGAUGCAGUGUACCCGCGGCAAGACGGAAAGACCCCGUGAACCUUUACUAUAGCUUGACACUGAACACUGGUCCUUGAUGUGUAGGAUAGGUGGGAGGCUUUGAAGCGUGGACGCCAGUCUGCGUGGAGCCGUCCUUGAAAUACCACCCUUUAAUGGCUGGUGUUCUAACGUAGACCCGUAAUCCGGGUUGCGGACAGUGUCUGGUGGGUAGUUUGACUGGGGCGGUCUCCUCCCAAAGAGUAACGGAGGAGCACGAAGGUUAGCUAAUCCUGGUCGGACAUCAGGAGGUUAGUGCAAUGGCAUAAGCUAGCUUGACUGCGAGAGUGACGGCUCGAGCAGGUGCGAAAGCAGGUCAUAGUGAUCCGGUGGUUCUGAAUGGAAGGGCCAUCGCUCAACGGAUAAAAGGUACUCCGGGGAUAACAGGCUGAUACCGCCCAAGAGUUCAUAUCGACGGCGGUGUUUGGCACCUCGAUGUCGGCUCAUCACAUCCUGGGGCUGAAGUAGGUCCCAAGGGUAUGGCUGUUCGCCAUUUAAAGUGGUACGCGAGCUGGGUUUAGAACGUCGUGAGACAGUUCGGUCCCUAUCUGCCGUGGGCGCUGGAGAAUUGAGGGGGGCUGCUCCUAGUACGAGAGGACCGGAGUGGACGCAUCACUGGUGUUCGGGUUGUCAUGCCAAUGGCACUGCCCGGUAGCUAAAUGCGGAAAAGAUAAGUGCUGAAAGCAUCUAAGCACGAAACUUGCCCCGAGAUGAGUUCUCCCUGAGACUUUAAGUCUCCUGAAGGAACGUUGAAGACGACGACGUUGAUAGGUCGGGUGUGUAAGCGCAGCGAUGCGUUGAGCUAACCGAUACUAAUGAACCGUGAGGCUUAACCUU
rnacentral:rRNA from 1 species